GUGCCCAGGGCUAAGGCAACUCCUGUCGCCUUACCCCUCCAAACAAUCAAUGCUAUCUACUGAGUACUUCCUGUAUGCAGUAUACUGUUCUAAGCCCUUAGGAAUGAACAGUGCAGUUGGUAGACACCCUCCCUACCCAUAAAGAGCUUACAGUCUAGUGGGGGAAUCAGACAAGAAACUCAAUUACAGAUAGGAGAAGCAACAGAAUACCAGGAUAUGUACAUUAGGACUCUGGAGUGGAGUGAAUAACAAAGUGUUGGGGAGAAUGAUCACAAGUUCAUAAGAGAUGCAGAAUGGAAAACUAGAGCAGGAAGAUGAGAAGUUAGUCAACGAAGGUUUUCUGGAGGAGAUAUGAUUUUGGUAGAGCCUUGUAAAUGGGUUGAACUUUUGUCGCUGAUAUGAAGGGGGAGAGAAUUUCCAGGCCAGAGGGACGAUGUGAGCAAAGGGUCAACAGAAAAAGAAAUAAGAUGAAUAAAUAGGUUCCCUGGAGGAGCAAAGUGGUAUGGACUGGGUUGCAGUGGUGGUUAAGCGAGGAUAAGCAAGAGGGAGAGGGUCGAUUGAGUGCUUUAAAGCUGUUGGCAAUUAAUUUCUGUUUGGUGUGGAGAAGAAUGGGCAACCCCUAGGGUUGAGGGAUCAGGUGCAGAAAGAUUUUUCAGAAAAAUGCUCUGGGCAGCAGAGUGGAGUAUUGACUGGAUUGGGGAAAGCCCGGAGCCAGGGAUAUCAGUGAUAAGGAUGAUCCAGAAGUCAAGGCAGGAUCGACUUGCUCGGACCUGUGUGGUGGCAGUUUGAAUGAAGACAAAGGGGUAGGUUCUAGAGAUUUUGUGAAGGUAGAGCCAACAGUAGCUGGUUAGUAGUGGGAAAUGGACAUUGAAAGUCAAAGAAGACUGUAAGGUUUGGGAUCUCUUACAUCCCCAGAGCUCCCUGAAGCAACAGACACUGUCCAGUGGUCACCCCUGAGAAAGCCACCACCACAACAGGCUUCAGGACCUUUUGUGAACUGAGCAGGAGUUUGCAACACAUGUGAUUCAGGCUCCCUUUUCUUAACCUGCUCCCACAGAAAGAUUCCCAGGCAUGUGCCCUAGUAAAAAUUGAUCAUUAUGAUAUUUUUAUGUGCUCACUAUGUGCCCAGCAGUUGGGGAGACAAAGGAUAAUUAUGCUGGAAACAUUCCCCAUCCCACAAGGGCUCAGGGCCUAGUUGGCAAGAGAGAAAAAGUAUUUAAUUUAUAUUUUCCAGAUGAGGAAACAGGCAGAGAAGGGCCAAGUGAUUUGUGCAGGGUCAAUCAAUUGAUUCUCUGAUUGAACAGGGUCACCAAAAGGCAGGUGGUGAAGUGAAGAUUAGAACCCAGCUCCUGCUGACCUGAGACUCAAGUUCUAUCCCCUAAGUCUCACUGCUUCAGUGAUUCUAGCACCAGAAAUAUUUAUGAAACAUUUGCAUUACCAGCCCUGAAACAGGAGCUAAGGAAACUGAGUAAUUCAUUCCUCCUGGCCCAUGGGAGGCUCACACAGAAAGGGGGUGGGAGGGUCUACUGGAAAGAUCCAAUUCAAAACUUAGGUCCAGGUCAUGAGCCCAUUUCCAUAGAGGAGAGUUUACUUCUGUAGUAGCCCCAGGCUCAAUUUCCUGAUAAUCUCCUGUGCUCAGUUUGGGAUCCUAGUCCAACAAACCUUCUACCCUCAAACUUAAUCAAUCCAUCAAUUUUAUUUAUUGAGCAAUUAUGGUGUAUGUGGCACUCUACUAAGUAAUGGGGGGAGGGUACAACACAACAAUAUAACAUUUUCCCUCCCCACAGCUAGAAAUUGUCUCCUGAAGUCAAGCAAGAGGGAGAUGGGAGUAACAUCAUCAAGGAAGGCCUGAGCACUGUGCUGUGUGUCCAGGCACCCAUCUUUCCACCUGUUAGAACCCUCCCUCCAAAUCUGUGAGCUUCCCAUCCUGCCCAUCUCUGUGAGUCCAACCACAGUUCUGGGACCAGUCUCUAUAGCUGCUGAUUGAUUUUUUUAAUGUUGUAUUGGACUUUGCCAAGUGCAAUUCUGCUUCCCAUCUCAUCGCAGGUCACUGAUAGUUUCUAUCCGGUAGAAAACAAUGAGCAGAAAUUGUUUCCUUACUAAGAGCCCAAGGAACAGGUUUGGUUCUGACCUUCUUUAUUCUUCAAAGACUGGAUCUGUUAGAAAUAAGAAGGUUCCUUCUGUGCCAAGGUGAACCCGGAGUACCCACCAUCUCCUGACUGUUCGAGUCAGCAAGGCAGAACUUGGAAGUGUGGGUGGGAUACCGCCCCCACUACCAAAACCUCUAGAAUGACAGCCCAAACCGGGAUACAGAAGGUGUCCCUCGCCCCCUUGACAAUCAAAUUAGGUUUGGAGGAGGGGGGAGGGAGGAAAUUGCUUAAACUGAGGCCAGAAGCUGGAAUGGCCAAGGAGCACAGAAAAUAAAUACCUCCCUCCUCUGACCUUCUGUGCAGUGGAUCGAGACUUUCAGCUGCCGGCUGCAGGUCACCUCUGCCCAGAGCGUGACAUACCUGCUCUGCCUGCACCAAAAGAGGAACUAUGGAAUGGGUUCUAUUCAUGCCUCUGUCUACCUGGAACUCCAACCCUCUUCACAUCUGGCAGACACGUCUCUCCAGGAAUCUGUCUGUUUGUUGUUAUAUUGUAUUCUCCCAAGCGUCUAGUGCAAUAAAUAUAAUUGAAUGAAUUUACGAAUCUUCAAAGAGCUUUUGAAAUCAUAUCUCCUCCAGGAGGCUAUGAGUAAUCUCUCAUCUCCCCACCUUAUUUCUCUCACUACUAUCCAUUCAGCAAUUCCAUGUCACCGGAGUACUUGAGUAUUCACACUUGUAUAUCUUUCUUUAUAAGCUAUUGAUCCCACCUACCUGUACUUUAUUUUAAUGGCUGCCUCCCCUACUAGACUGCAACCUUCUUGAGGGUAGGACCCGUGACUACUAAAUCUAUUGUGUUCUCCUAAGCACUUUGUAUAGAUUUCUAUACAGAUUAAGCUGUCAAUAAAUAUUCUUGAUUGUUUGA